rnacentral:rRNA from 1 species
CCUACGGGCGGCAGCAGUGGGGAAUAUUGGACAAUGGGGGCAACCCUGAUCCAGCCAUGCCGCGUGUGUGAAGAAGGCCCUCGGGUUGUAAAGCACUUUCAGUGAGGAAGAACGCCUGGUGGUUAAUACCCAUCAGGAAAGACAUCACUCACAGAAGAAGCACCGGCUAACUCCGUGCCAGCAGCCGCGGUAAUACGGAGGGUGCGAGCGUUAAUCGGAAUUACUGGGCGUAAAGCGCGCGUAGGUGGCUUGAUAAGCCGGUUGUGAAAGCCCCGGGCUCAACCUGGGAACGGCAUCCGGAACUGUCAAGCUAGAGUGCAGGAGAGGAAGGUAGAAUUCCCGGUGUAGCGGUGAAAUGCGUAGAGAUCGGGAGGAAUACCAGUGGCGAAGGCGGCCUUCUGGACUGACACUGACACUGAGGUGCGAAAGCGUGGGUAGCAAACAGGAUUAGAUACCCCAAUAGUC